UACGUAGGGUGCAAGCGUUAAUCGGAAUUACUGGGCGUAAAGCGUGCGCAGGCGGUUCGGAAAGAGAGGUGUGAAAUCCCAGGGCUUAACCUUAGAACUGCACUUCUAACUACCGGGCUAGAGUACGUCAGAGGGGGGUAGAAUUCCACGUGUAGCAGUGAAAUGCGUAGAGAUGUGGAGGAAUACCGAUGGCGAAGGCAGCCCCCUGGGAUGAUACUGACGCUCAUGCACGAAAGCGUGGGGAGCAAACAGG
rnacentral:rRNA from 1 species